GACGAACGCUGGCGGCGUGCUUAACACAUGCAAGUCGAACGGAAAGGCCCUGCUUUUGUGGGGUGCUCGAGUGGCGAACGGGUGAGUAACACGUGAGUAACCUGCCCUUGACUUUGGGAUAACUUCAGGAAACUGGGGCUAAUACCGGAUAGGAGCUCCUGCUGCAUGGUGGGGGUUGGAAAGUUUCGGCGGUUGUGGAUGGACUCGCGGCUUAUCAGCUUGUUGGUGGGGUAGUGGCUUACCAAGGCUUUGAAGGGUAGCCGGCCUGAGAGGGUGACCGGCCACCUUGGGCCUGAGAUACGGACCAGACUCCUACGGGAGGCAGCAGUCGGGAAUAUUGCACAAUGGGCGGAAGCCUGAUGCGGCAACGCCGCGUGCGGGAUGACGGCUUUCGGGUUGUAAACCGCUUUCGCCUGUGACGAAGCGUGAGUGACGGUAAUGGGUAAGGAAGCACCGGCUAACUACGUG
rnacentral:rRNA from 1 species